rnacentral:misc_RNA from 1 species
GAAAAUCUGCACUAGAUAAGGAUAGCGAAAUUUGAAAGUUGAAACUGAGGGCAUUUCCGUGAAUUACAAUCGAAAUUCAGGUAUGGAAAGGCGGCAAAUUUGUGAACUCUCUGCCUAUGAAAAGAGUGGAGGUUAGCUGGCAUUUCUGUUCCUUCUCUCAUACUUUCCUAAUUGUCUUCAUUCUCCACCCAAAAAACCCCCUCUUUUGGAGUUUUGAUCUAAUACUCUGGUAAAUCAGGCCCAUUCCCCUAAAACCCUUAUUUCAUUUUCCCCUUUUGAGUCCAAUUUCAGUUCCUCUGUGAUAUACAUCUGCUUUCUCAGGUCAGCGAGCUGCAUUUUUUCCUCUCAUCGUCUAAUUUUAUUUCUGUAUAUGUUUUAACAAUUUCCCAACUUUUGCUUUGAGAAUAUUGUUAGGCUAUAUUCAAUUGUUGUUUCGUGUUCAUGAUUCUAAUGUUUUGCUAAGAUGAUGAUAUGAGAAUACCCAUUCAAGGAAUUGACACCCUGAAUCUGUUGGGAAAUUGGGAUGCUCAAGUGUAGAUCCCUUGCUGUUCAGAAUCUUCAGAUGUAAUUGUUCACUUGCCCCUUCAAAAUCAGCAAAAUCUAAGUAAUGAAUAGAGGGACCAGAAAAAAAAGUAUGUAAUUUGGAUGGGUGCAUUUCUUGCUAACUAAAACCAGGAGCUUUUGAUUAUGACUAAUAAUAGUAAAGUUGACACAGAAAUGAUUUUAUUGUUUGAUUGAGCUAGCAACUUGGACUUUAGAUUCUUUUUAUUGGUCUAGUUAUCUUUUUUGUACUUGAUCUGGGAUCGGGCUUUCACAAUAUAGCAUUUGCGCCCCUACGUUUUGACAUUUCCUGCUGAUUUCUUUUCUAACAAUUUAAUGAAAGUAGAUGAGGAUUAUCUGUAGAAUAUACUUGAGUUAUAGAAAAUGAAAUUGGCAUUAAGAAACUUCGCUCAUCCCAUAGUUUCUUGAGCUUCGUAAAAUACACCAUAGCAGGCAUAUUUCUUUGCAGGAAUUAGUCUCACUCUUGAUCUGGUACAACAUCGGUCCAUUGCUAUCACCGAAGCGCUGCUCAAGUUCAUCCAAUAGAUCUUGUCUACCUUUUUUCUAUGCACAAGUCAGUUCACUAGUCUGUUUCAAUUGCUUAAGAUCCUUGUCCUAUCCUGUCGUUUUAGAUAUCAAAUUUCGUUUGGUCUAGGUUUAAUAACUCCACUUGAAUAUGUCUGCAAAUAGUCCUCUAUUUUAUCACUCAUAAAGACCCGAAGAAAAUCUCAAAAGAUAACAGCUGCAUUCUAGUCUCUCUGUCAAUGCUUGAACUAAUUACAAUGGAAGGGAUUAUUCUGGAUAUGAAAAUCCAUUUUUUAAUGAUUCUGCGUCUUGUAUUCUUGUUUAAAUCUCAUCUCUUUAUACACUGAUUUAGUGUUAAGUUAAUAAUAAUGAAUUUAUUGAUCACAGGGAUGGGCCAGGGUGUCAACCUAGUGCUGAAAAUGAUUGAACAGGACAGUGCUUCUCUAGCAAAGAAAGCUGAAUUGUGUAAACAGACUAGACCAGAUUUGAUUGAUGAAAUUAAGGAAUUCUAUUGUUUAUAUAGAUCAUUGGCCGAGCGCUAUGACCGUUUGAAUGCGGAAUUAUACAAGAGUAUACCAACAGAGUUCCAAAUGAAUGGUGUUGACAAUGCCCUUGACACACCAAUGCUUACUCCUGCACAAAAGCUUGGUUUAUUCAAGACUGACCGUGUCGCGUCUGUGAGCUGUGGUGUUGCCAGUUCUGAUAUUUCAUUGAAGGGUGGCUCUGACUCAUCAUCGUCAUUAUCAUUAUCAGACUCUGAAUCAGAAUCUUUCAACUCCUCAGGCAAUGCCUACUACAACCUCCCCAUGAACACUGAUCAUCAUAAGGGCCUGCACUACAAGACUCUUGAGUUAGGGACUGCUCUUCCUAGCAUGGAAAAGAAGUUCAAGGUGGAUGUGGAAGAAAAUGGAGAUGGUAUGUUGAACGCAAAAGAAAUGAAAAUUAUGAAGAAAUGUGGAUUAAGGUUGUCAGAUACGAGGAAGAGUUGAGAGUUUUAAAGCUAAAAUUGCACCUCCCAAAAGAGAAAGUUACUGAGUUGAAAAACGAGGUUGCAAAGAGUGAACAUUUUAUGAUACUAGCAGAAACUUUGCAGGCUCAGCUUAAGCAGAUAUAGAUGUCAACAUGAGGGAGGCUGAUCUUGAAGAAGAGAGAGCGAGAGUAAUGGUACUGCAAAAACAAACAUCUGAUGAUAUGGAUGAAUUGCAAGGUCAGCUGAAAUUGGCUCAAGAAGAAAAAUCAUGUUGAAGGCCAAGCUUGAUUCAGAGAGUAAUCAGGUUUUAGGCUUACAGGAGAGGAUUGUCCAGUGCAAAAAUGAUUUAUCUGAUCGUGAUGAUAAGGUCAAAGCAUUAAAACUUGCACUGCUUAAUGCCAAGAAGAGUUUCUUGAUUGAGAAAUCACAUCUGCAGUUAUAUCUAAUUUGUCACAGAGAGAGAGCUUGUUGGAGGUGAGGCUCAGAGAACUGGAAUUACAAGACAAAUCCAUGGAAGAUAAAUUGAGGCAAUGUGAAACAGAGAAAAUGGAAUUGCAACUUUUACACGACACCCAAAGGAUCGGGUUGCAAACAGAGAUCAGUCAGUUGAAGGUAGAACUUGUUGACAGAAGUGGACGUAGAAAUUUUGAAUAAAAACCUUGACUGUCUUAAAUUCAAGUAUGAUAUGCUUGUGGCAGAGAAAGAUGGGCUGAAUGCCAAGGUAAAUACACUUACAGCAGAUUUGAGUUCACAAGACAAUCAAAUUGGGCAAAUGGACGAGCACCUCUGGCGCAUGCAGAUGGAAAUUUUGGAACUCAUUGCUAGGUCUGAAAUUGUGCAAAAACUAGUAGAUCCGCUUAGAUCGAGAGUGGUGGAGCUAGAAAAGGAGGUGGACAAGCAGAGGGGUGAGCUCUCUGCUGGUGCUGAACAGAAAAGGGAAGCAAUAAGGCAGCUGUGUUUCUCCUUGGAUCAUUACAGGAGUGGGUAUAAAGAGCUUUGUGUAGCUUUUAUUCAGCAGAAGCGGCAUGCAGUCAUGGCUUCCUAAGGUAUCCUAAUUCUAUCAUGGUAUUAGUAAGGUUUCUAUAGGUCAUUUACAUGUUUUGUAUGUGUAUGAAAACAAUUGUUUGUUGUGAAGCUUUGUUCUUUGCUGGAAAGUUUUGGGAUGGUAUUUUUGGCUCAUUAUCAAUCUAGAUAUUUGAUGAUAACUAAUCUUGAAAUUCCUAUUAUUCACUAUAUUUUGAAUCUUGGCGAUGAAUACAAUCAUCUAUUCAACUUAUGAAAUGGC